UGCACUCACAGACUUUUAAAUUUCAAAUGUGGUUUAUUCCAUCCAAGAAACAAAACCGGUUUUGUUUCUUGGAUGGAAUAAACCACAUUUGAAAUUUAAAAGUCCGUGAGUGCA